ACGGGGGUUGCAAGCGUUGUUCGGAAUUAUUGGGCGUAAAGGGCGCGUAGGCGGCUUUGCAAGUCAGAUGUGAAAGCCCCGGGCUUAACUCUGGAAUUGCAUCUGAAACUGCGGUGCUUGAAUCCUGGAGGGGUUAGUGGAAUUCCCAGUGUAGCGGUGAAAUGCGUAGAUAUUAGGAGGAACACCUGAGGCGAAGGCGGCGACCUAGGCAGUGACUGACGCUGAUCCGCGAAAGUUAGGGGAGCAAACAG
rnacentral:rRNA from 1 species